CUUCUUUAAAAAGCACUGAUUAUCAUACUCCCUAGAAAUCUGCAGAUUUAAGAAAAGUGAUGAAGAUGGAAGGCUAACUACAAUCCAGAUGAAAUAUCUAAGGGAUUUUUUUUAGUGAAACAAAGAGAAAAAGAAAUAGCUCAGAAGAUGAGAUUUUUAAAGAGCGGCAGCCACAGGACACCUACCACUGUGUGUUUUCUCAUCAAAGGACACAAAGAAUCGCCACCUGCAGCAUCUUCAGAGGCAAAACCAGCUGGAAUGAAAGCACAAUCAAAUCUGCAUGAAAAACCUCACAACAACCAUAGAAAGAUGGCCUCUGGGGGAACAGGGGUAAUUCUUCCAGGCUCGCCUUACUAAAGUGCUGAAGUUAUAGGAAACCUACUCUGUCUUGCUGCUAGAAGAAUGGAAGUUUUCCACUGCUACAGACUCUCCUGGUUUAAUCCUUAGAUUUCCAUUCUCAAGGACUUUCCCACUACGUUAAUAUCUUAUGCACAUCAUAUGAUGUGCACUUUUCCUACAGUCUGUUUACAGCUUAUGAGAUGCUGACUGUGGAUGGGAAAAUACCACCACACCUCAGAAGUCUAAUGGUUAUGUGCCCAGCUCUUCUCACAGCAUGAGGAAAGUGUUUUCUGCCUUACCAGGCUGAAUGGAGCUCCCUAAUAUUAAGUUCAUGCCUUAAUCUGGUGACAUUUUCAAACUGCCGUCAAAACAACAGUUUGUCAAAAUGAAUACUCACCUCACAAAGUCUCCACUGGGUGACCUGGCCAAAAAGGGAGAGUAAUUCAUGAGUGUGGUUCUGGUUGUUGCCCUUGUUGAGACAACCAGGGUGAUUGUGCCUGCAAGGUCAGAAGAGGAUCAGAAUAGGAUUAAUGGCAAUCAAGACCUAUGACCUAAUAUUACCCUACGAGCUUUGAAGGACAUCAGAAUUGUGCAUAAUGCUUUUAUGCAGAUCUUGGGCUCCAGAAGACCCAUUUGUAU
rnacentral:lncRNA from 14 species